rnacentral:lncRNA from 1 species
UCAAAUUUGGGUUUUGAAUACAUGUUUGGUUCUCUUGCCCCUCGGGGCGGUAUUAUGGUGUUUGGUAUGUUUUUGGUAUAUUUCAGGUGUCAUAUGACGUUUGGAGAUAAACCAAGACAUGAUGGGGAGGCCGGAACAACUCAAAGCGUUCGACUUUGGAAGAAAGCGUCACUGUUUAGUAUUUUUAGCAUAACUCAUCGCUCCGAAGUCCAAUUGAUGCAAGGUCAGCGGCGUUGGAA